rnacentral:rRNA from 1 species
AAUUUUGGACAAUGUGGGAAACCCUGAUCAGCCAUCUCGCGUGUAUGAUGUAGGCAUUCCGGUUGUAAAGUACUUUUUCCAGUGACGAAAAGGUAUCUCCUAAUACGAGAUCCUGCUGUCGGUAUCUGCAGUUUAAGCACCUGCUAACUACGUGCCCGCAGCGACGGUCAUACGUAUGGUGCAAGCGAUAAUCGGAAUUACUGGACGUAAAGCGUGUGUAGGCGGUUCGGAAAGAAAGAUGUGAAAGCCCAGGGGUUAACCUUGGAACUGCAUUUUUAACUGCCGAGAUAGAGUAUGUCAGAGGGGGAUAGAAUUCCACGUGUAGCAGUGAAAUGCGUAGAUAUGUGGAGGAAUACCGAUGGCGAAGGGAGCCCCCUGGGAUAAUACUGACGCUCAGACACGAAAGCGUGGGGAGCAAACA